AUUGAACGCUGGCGGCAUGCUUUACACAUGCAAGUCGAACGGUAACAGGCCUUCGGGUGCUGACGAGUGGCGAACGGGUGAGUAAUGCAUCGGAACGUGCCCAGAGGUGGGGGAUAACGCAGCGAAAGCUGUGCUAAUACCGCAUGUGAUCUGAGGAUGAAAGCGGGGGACCAGGCAGCAAUGUUUGGCCUCGCGCCUUUGGAGCGGCCGAUGUCAGAUUAGGUAGUUGGUGGGGUAAAGGCCUACCAAGCCGACGAUCUGUAGCUGGUCUGAGAGGACGACCCGCCACAAUUGGACCGAGACAAGGCCCAGACCCCUUAGGGAGGCAGCAGUGGGGAAUUUUGGACAAUGGGCGCAAGCCUGAUCCAGCAAUGCCGCGUGCGGGAAGAAGGCCUUCGGGUUGUAAACCGCUUUUGUACGGAACGAAAAGGCUCUGGCUAAUACCUGGGGCUGAUGACGGUACCGUAAGAAUAAGCACCGGCUAACUACGUGC
rnacentral:rRNA from 1 species